GAUGAACGCUGGCGGCGUGCCUAAUACAUGCAAGUCGAACGAAACUUCUUUAUCACCGAGUGCUUGCACUCACCGAUAAAGAGUUGAGUGGCGAACGGGAGAGUAACACGUGGGCAGCCUGCCCAAAAGAGGGGGAUAACACUUGGAAACAGGUGCUAAUACCGCAUAACCAUAGUUACCGCAUGGUAACUAUGUAACAGGUGGCUAUACUACCGCUUUUGGAUGGGCCCGCGGGGCAUUAGCCAGUUGGUAGGGUAAAGGCUUACCAAGGCAAUGAUGCGUAGCCGAAUUGAGAGGUUGAUCGGCCACAUUGGGACUGAGACACGGCCCAAACUCCUACGGGAGGCAGCAGUAGGGAAUCUUCCACAAUGGGCGAAAGCCGGAUGGAGCAACGCCGCGUGGUUGAAGAAGGUCUUCGGAUCGUAAAACCCGGUUGUUAGAGAAGAAAGUGCGUGAGAGUAACUGUUCACGUUUCGACGGUAUCUAACCUGAAAGCCACUGCUAACUACGUG
rnacentral:rRNA from 1 species